AUGAUGAUCUCUUCUUCACUGCUGCUACUGCCACACUCCCACCAGCCAGUGAGCAACGAUGGAUAAAUGUAAGGAAUAAGAAAAGUCAGAAGGAAAUGCAAGCGCUUGAAAGGAUGGGACGGAUGAAAGCAGACAGGAGGUGGAGUAGAAAAUUGCACCGAGAUGAGAAAUGGCAGGCUUUGACAAAUCGCUGCUCUGACGAUCACCGUGGCUCAGAUGGGAGUGAAAUUAUUAAAAUCUGGUUAAAUCUUAAAAUGAAAUAUAUAAAGUAGCCUGCGAGAGAAUGCUGCAACAUGCUGUAAUAAGUUUAAAGACAUUGUGGUGAUCAAAACAUGACGUCGCCUGUCAUUUAUGUGUUCGCUGCUAAGGUGUCAUGGCUUCCAGGGAGAGAUAACAACACCUUGGCUUAACCCCAAUUAGCAGGAGUGAUCUCUAAUUGGUUUUGUUCCACAAGGCUCAGACAAAACUUCAGACGCUAACGGAGCGUGAAAGUAUGGUUGACCAGAUCCCAACAAACCAAAUGUAGGACAAAGAGUAUGUUUGUGUGGGACAAUGUGGGACAAUGUGGGACAUGUUACCAAGGCUGAGAGGUAGUGUAUAAUUUUGAUAUAAUGUCUAUCUAACUUAAAUAAUAAACAUUUCUAUUCUGCCCCUUAUCUUGUAACAUCUCUAUGCUUUGACUGAAUGCAUCCAUUGAUCGGCACAUCUCCUUUUGAGCCGCAUGUUUCUUGUGAGACUCACAUGAACUGUGUUGCUUCAUGUCAUAUC